GACGAACGCUGGCGGCGUGCUUAACACAUGCAAGUCGAACGGAAAGGCCCUGCUUUUGUGGGGUGCUCGAGUGGCGAACGGGUGAGUAACACGUGAGUAACCUGCCCUUGACUUUGGGAUAACUUCAGGAAACUGGGGCUAAUACCGGAUAGGAGCUCCUGCUGCAUGGUGGGGGUUGGAAAGUUUCGGCGGUUGGGGAUGGACUCGCGGCUUAUCAGCUUGUUGGUGGGGUAGUGGCUUACCAAGGCUUUGACGGGUAGCCGGCCUGAGAGGGUGACCGGCCACAUUGGGACUGAGAUACGGCCCAGACUCCUACGGGAGGCAGCAGGGGGGAAUAUUGCACAAUGGGCGGAAGCCUGAUGCAGCAACGCCGCGUGCGUGAUGACGGCCUUCGGGUUGUAAACCGCUGUCGCCUGUGACGAAGCGUGAGUGACGGUAAUGGGUAAAGAAGCACCGGCUAACUACGUG
rnacentral:rRNA from 1 species